rnacentral:rRNA from 1 species
CGAUUAGAGUUUGAUCAUGGCUCAGAAUGAACGCUGGCGGCGUGGAUUAGGCAUGCAAGUCGAACGGAGAGGACCCGCAAGGGUCCGAUCAGUGGCGCAAGGGUGAGGAACACGUGAGUAACCUGCCCUCGGAUCGGGGAUAGCCCCGGGAAACUGGGAUUAAUACCUGAUGAGGUACUGCUUUUCAUGGAGCGGCUACCAAAGGCAGCAAUGUCGUCCGAGGAGGGGCUCGCGUCCCAUAAGCUAGUUGGCGGGGUAACGGCCCACCAAGGCUAUGACGGGUAGCUGGUCUGAGAGGAUGGUCAGCCACACUGGGACUGAGACACUGCCCAGACUCCUACGGGAGGCUGCAGUCGAGAAUCUUCCGCAAUGGGCGAAAGCCUGACGGAGCGACGCCGCGUGAGGGAUGAAGGUCUUCGGAUUGUAAACCUCUGUCACCCGGGACGAAGAAUGUG